rnacentral:lncRNA from 1 species
GGCCUCGCUCAGUGGAUUAAGGAUCCAGCAUUGCUGUGAGCUGUGGUGUAGGUCACAGACAUGGCUCGGAUCUGGUGUGGCUGUGGCGUAGGCCAGCAACUGUAGCUCCAGUUCAGACCCCUAGCCUGGGAACUUACAUAUGCUGAAAAUGCGGCCCUAAAAACCAAAAAAAAAAAACAAGCACUCUUAACCCAGUGUGUAUUCAUUAAUCAGCUAUUUUCUCCUGCCUCAGUAUGGCUGUCAUCACAAUCACUGUUUCCAGCAAACAUUUGAGCAGCUAGUUUAUGUAAGACAAUAAAGAUAAUUGCAGUUUCAAAGAACCCUGAGGUUUAGUUCCUGACCUUAGGAGAAAUACGAUAUUUACUCAUAAAAAGACCAAGAAAAUAGCAGAUAAACACUAACUCACUUGCCCAGAAAGCAUUCAUUCUAUAGGCAUAACUUUGGGCAGAAGAGUUAAGUGCUAGAUUUGUUUUUUCAUCUGUAAAAUGUUAAGGUUAGGCAAGUUUAUUAAAAUUGUGUGAAUCUAAAUUCAGAGCAAGGACUGCUCACACAAUAGAUAUUAAACAAAAACAAAAACCCAGCACCUGACAUAAUUCAACAUCCAUGAUUUUAAAAACGCAGCACCAUGAACAUAAUAGGUUCACCUGUCCUCCUCAAGAGAAAAAGCAUUUUUAUUUAGUUCAACCAAGACAAGGAAAAAAAUUAUAUUUUGACCCCCAGAGUCUUAUACGUGUGGAGGUCAUUGGUUCUUUAAUAGCUGUAGAAAGGACCCAGAGGGACUAGCUGCUGCGACUUAACUUCGUGAGAGUCCUCAGUUUGCUGGAGCUUCUGACCGGCUGAUCUUUGCCUGUCAACCUUUUGGUUUUACAGACAUGGCAGGCAGGCAGGUUUUAUAGACAUGGACAAGAAGUCUGCACACAGAAGUUCUGAGGAUGCCAGGACCGGCAAAAGUGGAGGUAAGAAUCUUACUUGCUUUAAGAACUUUUGAGUAACUUAAUGUACGUUUCAUAAACCAUUUUGUUUCUCUCUCACUUGUGGCUAAUAUUUGAGAGAAUAAUCGUGUUGCGCUUUGUAUCAAUCUAAGGUAAACACAAACAAAAGAAAAGAGAAAAGCAAAACCAAGAACACCACCGAUCCCGACAUAGGUCAACAUCUCAUUCUUCAGAUGACUGUGUGUUUCCUUCUUCUGUAUCAUCUUCAGGAAGCCACACGGAUUCAAGUCUAGAAGGUAUGUUUAUCACCCUGUUAAGCUUUUUCAUUUAUAAGUUAAAUGAUGUAGAAAAAAAAUUCAUUAAAACUGCAUCGUAAGAGUGAGAAUACCCACGAUGUGCCGGGCGUAAUGGUGAACACGCGUAGUCCUUUCAGCGAAGGAACUUUCAGGAUAUGGACAAUGAAGAUAAAUAGUCCAUUACAAUGCAGAUGAGUGCUGAAGCUUGAGAUGCACAUGUUGAGACAAGGAGAGCCUAUAGAGAGGAAAUCUUAUCCGAAUUGAGAAUUGGAGGAUGGGUAGACAUUUUCUAGAAUGCCGAGAAAGUGGAAUUCAGGACAGUUAAUUGCAAGCUGAAGGAAUUGCAAGUGCUAACCACUGUUUCUGAUUCUUUCUCAAGUAAUAUGCCUUGCACAUCCAUUUCUUGAUUUAUCAGUGAACGAAGCAGGGUUCUUGGUUGUAAGCAAAGAAAACUGGCUCUGGCUGAUUUAAAUGGAAAAAUAAUUUAUUGAAAAGAUAUUGAGUAACUCACAGAAUUGCUAAGAAGCCUAGAGAACUAAUCUCUGAACGUGGGUGGGAACAAAGUGAAACUUGGCCACUAGAACUGCAGGCAAAGUCACACCCCUGUCAGGGCACACUGCCACCACUGCUGCUUCUGAACCUGGAUGCCUCGACCUGCAUUGCUCUGGGCACUAAAUAUUGUUACGGUAGAAUGGAUGCUUCGCCAUCUCUGCAUCUUGGUGUCACUAGCUCCUAGGCAGUAUUGACAGAGCCUAGAUCACAAGUCUAUGUCCUGACUGCAUAGGAAACUGGAAAAGCGAGUAUCAGCCUUUUCCUCAUUGAUGGUAGGAGGUAUGUCACCAGACAUAGGAGGGAAAAUCAGAUGCUGGACAAUCAAAAUAAAAUAAAUGUUCUCCACAUUCAUUAGCUCACAAAUUACUCUUUUUUCUUACCUGCCUUUCUCUACUCAGUGGUGAUUAGUUGAAUUAUCAUAAGUUUUUAUAGUUAAUUUGUAAUAAUAAAUUUAUACCUGUAAUUCUACUUGUUGUUUAAUCAACAAAAAGUAGGGUUUUUUUUUUAUUUUUUUGUUUCAUCAACAAAAAGUAGGUCCAUUAUUUUGCUCUCUUUAGUAUAGGUGCCCCUACCCUUUCCUCCGUCCUUUCUCCCCGUCGUCUCUUUUUAAAAAACCAUUUUUGGUAGUUAACAUUUUUAAUCUGAUCUAUAACCAAAACUCUUGUAUUUUUUUCGCCAUAGAUUCCCUUUAAAUGUUCAAAGCUAAUGGUCAGCAUUUAAGUUAUUAUCACCAUAUUACCAUGCAAAUAUCGUUAUUGCAGCACCACGUCAUGUGCUAGGAUUGCAUUUCCCUUUCGUGAAUCUCGUGACCUGAUCACCAUUUCUAGAGCAUAGCGACAUCAGCAGGCACUCUUAUAGUCCAUCUUUUGCCUCCUAGCAUGCCAUGUCUUAGUAUUGCUUCAUAUGUGCACCAUGACUCUGUACAGUUUUUAUUUUCCUUAGACUUUUUAGUUCUAUAAUUUUUUUUUUUAUUGACAGAAAGGUAAUGUGACUUCACCGUGAUAAGAAGAUUUUCUAUCCUUUCCAUCAUACUGUUCCAUGGAGAUCAUUUUUUUCCCCUGAGAUGUUCUUGCCUGCCUGUUGUAAAUGGGCUACUUUGUACCCUCAAAGCCUGACGGAUAGCCAUCAUCCUAGAAUUUAGCCAUCAUCCUAGAAUUUCUUCUCACUGGUCUUCCAGGUUGGAAACAUUGUUUAUUCAGUCCAUGCUUUCUUCCCUCUCUUUGUUUUCUCCCUUAACAAUUAGUGUAUGUUGUCAUAUAACUUUUCCAAAAUAUAUGUCUGGAAGGUAAAUUUUCAGAGUCUGCGUAUCUCAAAAAGUCAUUAUUCUGCUGUCCACACUCGUUUGAAAACAAUUUCCCCUAAUUCCAGUUUCCAGAGGCGGUAACUUCAUAUUCUUUUCGCAGUAUGUUUUGAUCUCUGUCUCCAAAUCUCUAAAUAACUUCUAAAGACCCAGUUCACUUUUCAGUUUUAGGUUCUAUGGAAAAUAAAAAUUUAGCUACUUCGUUUUUUCACCACCCCCCUCAUCAUUCACUUCCUUCUUCUCAUCCUUCUAAAUAGGACUUCAUUGUCCUAACGGACUGUUUCACUCUUCAAUUAUUUCAUUAUUGUGACUUUUCAGAUUCUCUUCACAACUGCACCAUAUUCUGCGGUUUCCUUUCUAGCACGACUUUUUUGGGUUUUCUGUCACUUAAUUAUUAUCUUUUUAAAAAUGUGUUUCAUUUUGUGUUUGUGACAUGUAGUAGUAAGUCUGUUGUACUCUGUUAAUUUCAUGUGGAAGCUCCUCUCCUGGACGCCUUUAACGUGCUCCAUCUGGAAAUGCUGCGCUCAAGGCAUGGGAGCAGCUGUAACGUUAGAAUUUUCUUACCUCUUCACUCUGGGGGCUCCUUCUCCUCUCUUUUCAGUUUGGUCACCUGUUUUCUGGGUCCUGCGAGUUUCUCUUCCUUUGUUUUCCCCUUUAUUUUAUUGGAGAACCUCUCCUAGUAACAUAAGAAAAAGAUGGGACAUUUAAUUCCUAUUCUGUUUGUAGUUGUGGGUUUAUGCCAGUAAAUAAAUUUCCUCUAUUGCUUCUGCUUCUAUUGAAAUGAGUGGUAACAGCAAACCAGUGCUUCCACCAUAAACUAGAUAAAAUGCAGAGAAGUAUCUAGUUAAAGGGGUGGAGAGCUGCUAAGGCAAUGAGAACUAGAGGCAUUGAGAUUCUAAAGAGGAGAGAACUAUGGAGGGGUGAAAUAAUACAAAAAUUAGAGUUUGGGACUCAGUGGAGCCUGGAGAAUACAACAGGCCCUCUGUUGAAAACCCAGGAGGGCAGGGAUGCAUCAGAGGUAAACUGAGCCUUACCAGGACUGUAAUAAAAUCACGUCAGCACAGCCCCUGACUGGGCUUAGAUCAUCUAUCAUUCUCUUUGCUUAGUGGAAGAAGGAGGAAGAUAGCAUCAUCUAGAGCUUCUAGAAUUUUGUAACAUGAAACACCUUUCUUUCUUUCUUUCUUUUGCCUGCACCUGCGGCAUACAGAAGUUCCUGGGCAGGGAUUGAACCUACACCACCACAGCGACCUGAAGCCACAGCAGUGACAACGCCAUAUCCUUAACCCACUGAGCCACCAGGAAACUCCAGAAAAAUGACUAGACAUUCCAACAUGACUUAAGAACAAGAUUAGUGCUAUGGGUAAUCCAGAUAUUUGAGUUCGCUGACAUGAAUUUCACAUAAUUAUUAUUAAUAUGUUCAAGAAAGUAGACAUUUGUAAGCCAUAAAAAUAACCAAAUGGAAAUUUUGGAAUAACAAGUGCAUUAACUAAAAUUAACAAUUUAGGGAGUUCUAGUUGUGGUGCAGCAGAAACGAAUCUGACUGGUAUCCAUGGGGGGACAUGGGUUCCAUCCCUGGCCUCGCUCAGUGGGUCGGGGAUCCACCGUUGCCCUGAGCUGUGAUGUAAGUCAUACACGUGGCUCAGAUCCCGUGUUGCUGUGGUUCCCAUUAGACCCCUAGCCUGGGAACUUCCAUAUGCCUUGGCUGUAGCCCCAAAAGCAAAUAGAUAAAUAAAUAAAUAAAUAAAAUUAACAAUUUAGAUAGAUUUGCCAGCAGAUUAAACACAACAAAGACAGAAUAGCAACCUGGAAGUCAAGUCAAGAGAAAGAAAAAAGAACAGAAGAUACAGAAGAGGGCAUCAGAAACACAUGAGGCCGAGUGAGGAGGUCUGACAUAGGUGGAAGAAAGAGAGCAGAGUGAGGAAAAAGAAAUAUUUGAAGAGAAUAAUGGCCAGAUGUUUUCCAAAACAGAUAAAAACACAUCAACUACAGAUUCAAGAAACUUUAAAACCCCAAACUUGGAUAAUGCCAAAAAAAAAAAAAAA